UACGUAGGGGGCAAGCGUUGUCCGGAAUCAUUGGGCGUAAAGAGCGUGUAGGCGGUCCGAUAAGUCCGCUCUGAAAGCCCGGGGCUCAACCCCGGGAGGCGGGCGGAUACUGUCGGGCUAGAGUCCGGAAGAGGCAAGUGGAAUUCCUGGUGUAGCGGUGAAAUGCGCAGAUAUCAGGAGGAACACCAAUGGCGAAGGCAGCACUCUGGGACGUGACUGACGCUGAGACGCGAAAGCGUGGGGAGCAAACAGG
rnacentral:rRNA from 1 species